rnacentral:rRNA from 1 species
AUGCUUCUUGAAGCAUUUCAUACCCUCGGAAGCACUCUAAAUAGUUAUGCUUCAAUUAGGAUGUCAUCAAUGAAAAGAGAACCAAAAAGGAACACCACAAUAAAGAAUCAAGCAACCAGGGCAUUCAUGCUAGUAAAGCUUGUAGUAGAAUCAAGAACACAAGCAGGAAAAUUAAAACGGUCCGAGCACAUCAGUCCCCACUCCAUACUUCCUAGCCAUCCAUUCUACAUCUCAUCUCAAACAGUGAAAAAAGGUGUAACUAUUAGACCAACAUCCCUUGUCGUAAAAAAAGUAGCAGGACAGAAAUAA